rnacentral:rRNA from 1 species
UACGUAGGGUGCAAGCGUUUAAUCGGAAUUACUGGGCGUAAAGGGCGCGUAGGCGGCGUGUCAAGUCAGGCGUGAAAGCCCCGGGCUCAACCUGGGAACCGCGCUUGAGACUGGCAUGCUCGAGUUCGGGAGAGGAUGGUGGAAUUCCCAGUGUAGAGGUGAAAUUCGUAGAUAUUGGGAAGAACACCGAUGGCGAAGGCAGCCAUCUGGACCGACACUGACGCUGAGGCGCGAAAGCGUGGGGGAGCAAACAGG